rnacentral:rRNA from 1 species
GACGAACGCUGGCGGCGUGCUUAACACAUGCAAGUCGAACGGAAAGGCCCUGCUUUUGUGGGGUGCUCGAGUGGCGAACGGGUGAGUAACACGUGAGUAACCUGCCCUUGACUUUGGGAUAACUUCAGGAAACUGGGGCUAAUACCGGAUAGGAGCUCCUGCUGCAUGGUGGGGGUUGGAAAGUUUCGGCGGUUGGGGAUGGACUCGCGGCUUAUCAGCUUGUUGGUGGGGUAGUGGCUUACCAAGGCUUUGACGGGUAGCCGGCCUGAGAGGGUGACCGGCCACAUUGGGACUGAGAUACGGCCCAGACUCCUACGGGAGGCAGCAGUGGGGAAUAUUGCACAAUGGGCGGAAGCCUGAUGCAGCAACGCCGCGUGCGGGAUGACGGCCUUCGGGUUGUAAACCGCUUUCGCCUGUGACGAAGCGUGAGUGACGGUAAUGGGUAAAGAAGCACCGGCUAACUACGUGCCAGCAGCCGCGGUGAUACGUAGGGUGCGAGCGUUGUCCGGAUUUAUUGGGCGUAAAGGGCUCGUAGGUGGUUGAUCGCGUCGGAAGUGUAAUCUUGGGGCUUAACCCUGAGCGUGCUUUCGAUACGGGUUGACUUGAGGAAGGUAGGGGAGAAUGGAAUUCCUGGUGGAGCGGUGGAAUGCGCAGAUAUCAGGAGGAACACCAGUGGCGAAGGCGGUUCUCUGGGCCUUUCCUGACGCUGAGGAGCGAAAGCGUGGGGAGCGAACAGGCUUAGAUACCCUGGUAGUCCACGCUGUAAACGGUGGGUACUAGGUGUGGGGUCCAUUCCACGGGUUCCGUGCCGUAGCUAACGCUUUAAGUACCCCGCCUGGGGAGUACGGCCGCAAGGCUAAAACUCAAAGGAAUUGACGGGGCCCCGCACAAGCGGCGGAGCAUGCGGAUUAAUUCGAUGCAACGCGUAGAACCUUACCUGGGUUUGACAUGGAUCGGGAGUGCUCAGAGAUGGGUGUGCCUCUUUUGGGGUCGGUUCACAGGUGGUGCAUGGCUGUCGUCAGCUCGUGUCGUGAGAUGUUGGGUUAAGUCCCGCAACGAGCGCAACCCUUGUUCACUGUUGCCAGCACGUUAUGGUGGGGACUCAGUGGAGACCGCCGGGGUCAACUCGGAGGAAGGUGGGGAUGACGUCAAGUCAUCAUGCCCCUUAUGUCCAGGGCUUCACGCAUGCUACAAUGGCUGGUACAGAGAGUGGCGAGCCUGCGAGGGUGAGCGAAUCUCGGAAAGCCGGUCUCAGUUCGGAUUGGGGUCUGCAACUCGACCUCAUGAAGUCGGAGUCGCUAGUAAUCGCAGAUCAGCAACGCUGCGGUGAAUACGUUCCCGGGGC